rnacentral:rRNA from 1 species
GACGAACGCUGGCGGCGUGCUUAACACAUGCAAGUCGAACGGAAAGGCCCUGCUUUUGUGGGUUGCUCGAGUGGCGAACGGGUGAGUAACACGUGUGUAAACUGCCCUUGACUUUGGGAUAACUUCACGAAACUGGGGCUCAUACCGGAUAGGAGCUCUUGAAGCACGGUGGGGGUUGGAAAGAUUCGGCGGUUGGGGAUGGACUGGCGGGUUAUGAGCUUGUUGGUCGGGUAGUGGAUUACAAAGGUUUUGACGGCUAGCCGGCCUGGGAGGGUGACCGGCCACAUUGGGACUGAGGUACGGCCCAGACGCCUACGGGAGGCAGCAGUGGAGAAGAUGGCACAAUGGGCGGAAGCCUGAUGCAGCAACGCCGCGUGCGGGAUGACGGCCUUCGGGUUGUAAACCGCUUUCGCCUGUGACGAAGCGUGAGUGACGGUAAUUGGUAAAGAAGCACCGGCUAACUACGUG